GAGUUUGAUCGUGGCUCAGAUUGAACGCUGGCGGCAUGCCUUACACAUGCAAGUCGAACGGCAGCACGGGAGCUUGCUCCUGGUGGCGAGUGGCGAACGGGUGAGUAAUGCAUCGGAACGUAUCCUGGAGUGGGGGAUAACGUAGCGAAAGUUACGCUAAUACCGCAUAUUCUGUGAGCAGGAAAGCGGGGGACCUUCGGGCCUCGCGCUCUUGGAGCGGCCGAUGUCGGAUUAGCUAGUUGGUGAGGUAAAGGCUCACCAAGGCGACGAUCCGUAGCAGGUCUGAGAGGAUGAUCUGCCACACUGGAACUGAGACACGGUCCAGACUCCUACGGGAGGCAGCAGUGGGAUUUUGGACAAUGGGGGCAACCCUGAUCCAGCCAUGCCGCGUGAGUGAAGAAGGCCUCGGUU
rnacentral:rRNA from 1 species